rnacentral:rRNA from 1 species
GACGAACGCUGGCGGCGUGCUUAACACAUGCAAGUCGAACGGAAAGGCCCUGCUUUUGUGGGGUGCUCGAGUGGCGAAAGGGUGAGUAACACGUGAGUAACCUGCCCUUGACUUUGGGAUAACUUCAGGAAACUGGGGCUAAUACCGGAUAGGAGCUCCUGCUGCAUGGUGGGGGUUGGAAAGUUUCGGCGGUUGGGGAUGGACAGGCGGAUUAUCAGCGUGUUGGUGGGGUAGUGACUUACCAAGGCUUUGACGGGUAGCCGGCCUGGGAGGGUGACCGGCCACAUUGGUACUGAGAUACGGACCAGACUCCUACGGGAGGCAGCAGUGGGGAAUAUUGCACAAUGGGCGGAAGCCUGAGGCAGCAACGCCGCGUGCGGGAUGACGGCCUUCGGGUUGUAAACCGCUUUCGCCUGUGACGAAGCGUGAGUGACGGUAAUGGGUAAAGAAGCACCGGCUAACUACGUG